CUGUAGCUGGUAGUUUGCAGGUUUGCAUAAUCGAUGGUUCACAACUGACUUGACUCCGGCCAGAGGAAGUUCUGAUGAAGCAAAAUCUCAAGAAAGUAUUACGCCCGCCCAUCAUAGUCUGAGGAGCGGCAGUCUAGUUCCAGUGGGGGAGGGUAACAUGGGUUAUUCUAGGCCAGAAUCAGUCUGUGCCAGAGAUGGAGGGAAACUGUCUUCCAAACAUCCCAGGCCUCACCUGAGUGUCACCAACCUUGUUGGAUGUCAGGUGGGCCUCGGCAGCCUGGAUCCAGCUGCCCCGUGUGAGAGGCCAUGUCACUAACCUGCCCGCCUCCAGGAAGUUCCUCCUCCAGAACUAAUCACACAUAAGUAAAAGCAUCUCCUACAAGAAGAGUGCGUUAGUCUGCUGACAUAACAAAGUACCACAAACUGGGUGACUUGAGAGAAAUUUAUUGUCUCACCGUUCUGGAAGCUAGAAGUCUGAAAUCAAGGUGUGGGUAAGAUUGGGUCCUUCUGAGGGCUGUGAGGGAAGGGUUCACUCCAGGCCUCUCUCCUGGGCUUGUUGAUGGCCAUCUUCCCCCCGUGUCUCUUCACAUCGUCUUCCCUCUCUGUGCAUCUGUCUCCAAAUUUCCCCCCUUGAUAAGGACAUCAGUGAUUUUGGAUCGGGGGCCCACCCUACUCCAGUAUGACCUCAUCUUAACUAGUUACAUCUGCGAUGACCCUAUUUCCAAAUAAGGGCACAUUCUGGGGUUAGGAUCUCAGCACAGGAAUUUUGAGAUGGACACAACUCAGAUCAACUCUGACUUCUGAUGGGAGAAGCAGAGGAGCUGUUCAGUGGUUCAGGAAGGGAUGAUGCUGAGGAAAUCGUUUCAUUUUAGUCUCUCGGUAACUCCGAAAGGAAGGGAAUUCAAGUAUUAUUGCCAUUUUGCAGAUAAGAAAGCUGAAAUAUUUCAGACAGUGUCAUGGAUUGGGCCGUUUCUAUGGAGGGCUAUGAUCGCAACAAUUUUUCCUAAUUUUCUUCUCAGAAGGCAGGCUUUUUUAAAAUCUAGACUUUGCGGGUACCUUCACAUUGGCCCUGUGUGCCCACUGCAAUGCCAACCUGAAUUAAUAACUAAAACUUUUCGGAAUACUAAGAGUAAUUGUAAUAGGGUGAUGAAAUUACAGGUGGAUUUUUCUUUUCUUGACCUAUUCUCUAUUUUCCAAGUGUUUUGUAAAGUGGGAAUGUUGCAUAAUUUAACAUUUUCAUCUAGGGGCCGGCCCGGUGGUGCAGCGGUUAAGGUCACACGCUCCGCUUCUCAGCGGCCCGGGGUUCGCCGGUUCGGAUCCCAGGUGUGGACAUGGCACUGCUUGGCACGCCAUGCUAUGCUAAUUUCAGCGCACCUCGGGUCACACCCCUGAGGCCCACUCUCUGCAAGCAGUUCUCGAGUCUCUCCCCUCCCUCCUCUGAGCCCUCCUCUCUGAGGACCACGCGGCCCCAUCUCACCGGCUCCCAAGUGCACAGACUGCCCCCACUUCCCCCAGCAAUUUCUGUGACUCUGAUUUAGCUUAUAAAUGGGAGACCAGGGGGAGGGAUGUUUUUG
ensembl:lncRNA